rnacentral:rRNA from 1 species
UACGUAGGUGGCAAGCGUUAUCCGGAAUUAUUGGGCGUAAAGAGCGCGCAGGUGGUUAAUUAAGUCUGAUGUGAAAGACCCACGGCUUAACCGUGGAGGGUCAUUGGAAACUGGUUGACUUGAGUGCAGAAGAGGGAAGUGGAAUUCCAUGUGUAGCGGUGAAAUGCGUAGAGAUAUGGAGGAACACCAGUGGCGAAGGCGGCUUCCUGGUCUGCAACUGACACUGAGGCGCGAAAGCGUGGGGAGCAAACAGG